rnacentral:lncRNA from 10 species
GCUCGACCUUUCUUCUUUUUUGAUACAGCAAGACCCCCCGCAAGACAGCAAGACCCAACUCUCUUCUUUCUCUUCCUCCUCAUCCUACUCAACAUGAAGAUGACAAGGAUGAAGACCUUCAUGAUGGUCCACUUCACUUAAUGAAUAGUAAAUAGUAAAUUUUCUCUUCCUCAUGAUGUUUGAAAUAAUAUUUUCUUUUCUCUAGCUUAUUUUAUUGUAACAAUACAGUAUACUAUACACACACAAAAUAUGUGUUAAUCAACUGUUUAUGUUAUUGGUAAGGCUUAUGGUUAACAGUGGGCUCUUAAUAGCUACACUGUGGUGGAGUCAAAAGUUAUAUACAGGGUCUCGACUGUCUGGGGGUUCGGUGCCCCUAAUCUCUGCAUUGUUCAAGGGACAACCACAGUGUUAUUUCUGUUAGACAUGUGUCAGCACCCUAUGCUGUUACUGUGACUUGCUAUUUUUUUAAAUCUCCCUUGUAACUGUAGGAUAACUCUCUGUAUAACUCUAGUGAAUCCCCAGUAAGUGCAAAUUAAAAUGGUGACCUG